GUCGUCAGCUCGUGUUGUGAAAUGUUGGGUUAAGUCCCGCAACGAGCGCAACCCUUAUCCUUUGUUGCCAGCGGUCCGGCCGGGAACUCAAAGGAGACUGCCAGUGAUAAACUGGAGGAAGGUGGGGAUGACGUCAAGUCAUCAUGGCCCUUACGACCAGGGCUACACACGUGCUACAAUGGCGCAUACAAAGAGAAGCGACCUCGCGAGAGCAAGCGGACCUCAUAAAGUGCGUCGUAGUCCGGAUUGGAGUCUGCAACUCGACUCCAUGAAGUCGGAAUCGCUAGUAAUCGUGGAUCAGAAUGCCACGGUGAAUACGUUCCCGGGCCUUGUACACACCGCCCGUCACACCAUGGGAGUGGGUUGCAAAAGAAGUAGGUAGCUUAACCUUCGGGAGGGCGCUUACCACUUUGUGAUUCAUGACUGGGGUGAAGUCGUAACAAGGUAACCGUAGGGGAACCUGCGGUUGGAUCACCUCCUU
rnacentral:rRNA from 1 species